UAUUAAUUUAAAAUAUAUUUCCCAGAAAUCGAUCAAAAUAAAAAUUGAAAUUUUCUGGAAAAUCUUGUUUGUCUUGGAGACUAUUUGCCACCCCUCUGCGAGUGGUGCCUGAGACAUGAUAGAUCCCCUUGCCCCCCUUCGCUACGCUACUGCCCAUACACAAGAACAAUCCUGGACAUGCAUAAUGUCUAACUCAUACUCAAUCCCAAUGCAAUCACUUAGAAAACCACUUGGAAAGAAAAUCCUCACAUUACCAUAUACUAGACUCAAUACCACAUACUAUAUGAUAAAGAAUAUCAAACCCCCACCCAACUACAUAAAUGCUCCAGGGUAUACACUAUACCAAGAUACAACGCACCCUUCAACAACAUGAAAUAUAUAUACACAGUACAAUAAAGGCUUUAGCAG
rnacentral:lncRNA from 1 species